UACGUAGGGGGCAAGCGUUGUCCGGAUUUAUUGGGCGUAAAGAGCGUGUAGGCGGCUUGGUAGGUCCGCUGUGAAAACUCGAGGCUCAACCUCGAGAUGUCGGCGGAAACCACUUGGCUAGAGUCCGGAAGAGGAGAGUGGAAUUCCCGGCGUAGCGGUGAAAUGCGCAGAUAUCGGGAAGAACACCUAUGGCGAAGGCAGCUCUCUGGGACGGUACUGACGCUGAGACGCGAAAGCGUGGGGAGCGAACAGG
rnacentral:rRNA from 1 species